rnacentral:rRNA from 1 species
GUGCCAGCCGCCGCGGUAAUACGGGGGGAGCGAGCGUUGUCCGGAAUCACUGGGCGUAAAGGGUGUGUAGGCGUCCCGGUAAGUCUCUGGUGAAAGCCUUCCGCUCAACGGAAGAAUUGCCAGAGAUACUGUCGGGAUUGAGUCCGGGAGAGGGGAGAGGAAUUCCUGGUGUAGCGGUGAAAUGCGUAGAUAUCAGGAAGAACACCGGUAGCGAAGGCGGCUUCCUGGCCCGAUACUGACGCUGAAGCGCGAAAGCGUGGGGAGCAAACAGGAUUAGAUACCCUGGUAGUCCACGCCGUAAACGAUGGGUACUAGGUGUUGGGAUCGAUUCUGUCGGUCUCAGUGCCGCAGCUAACGCACUAAGUACCCCGCCUGGGGAGUACGGUCGCAAGGCUGAAACUCAAAUGAAUUGACGGGG